UGCAGGCUGCACACAGGCACAAACUCUGCUCAAACUCGGGGAUAAACUGUGGCAUAAACUCGUGUCCCGCGGCUCCUGUUUCUCAGAUGACGGAAAUGUGUGAAGAAGAAGCUCAGACUACGGCCUGUGUCGACUAAGAGCAAACCCUCAGAACGUCUGAACACAUCCCAGUGACUGCGGCGACAGUAAAGACAUAACAAAGGGU